rnacentral:lncRNA from 1 species
AAGCAAUUUGCUCAUAGCCAUAGCUUUCUUGUGAAAGUAGGAUAUUAACCCAGGUGUCUUGGUGCUGGAGAACAGAACUGGCCAGAGUCCAUCCUGUCUCCCACCGGCAUCCCAUUACGAAAUGAACACAGAAAAGGCAGGUCUGCAAUGCCAACAUCUAGUAUCUAUCCCAAAGACCAGGGAGAAAGGAAGGAAAGAUUCUGGUUCUGUCCUCUUCCCCAAGGCAAGGCUGGCUGCCCUACCAACAGAGGCAAAGAGAAGAGUGUGCAAGGCUGGCUGCCCUCCCAACAGAGGCAAAGAGGAGUGUGUGUUGAAAUAUCCAUUGAAUCCCUGAGACAACUGGAUCCUGGCCCAUUGAAUCAUAAACUCAGCAGAAUCUCACAUCAUAACCCCAAAUGACCUGUUACUCACCAUGUGGCCCAGCUGUCUUCAAACUCACCAGCCUCCUGCCUUAGCCUUCUAAAUGCUUGGAUUACAGGCAUGACCCACCAUAACUGGCUUUGUUUUAGUUUCAGAGAAGAUGAAACUGAUGUGCGUCAAAAAGCUGGUAGUCUGUCAAGGAAAUGAGCUGAACAUGUCUGUGUACAGCUUUUGUGCCAUCCCUGGAUGAGCGAGCUGUCUGCCUCUAUGUUCUCCACAAAAUGGAAUAUAGCUGUACACCCAAGCCAAGUUAUGGAGGCUGGGAAGACCUAGAAUGUGGCAUCACUAUUUGGUUAUUUAGAAAAUUGUUACCUCAAAAAUGACCUAGGGGUCCUUAGAAUAAUAACACACAGAAGAAUAGCCUCAUUUUUCUGUUGGGCCCAGGAAACCAUGCCGAUUACCGACCGAGCUCUCAAUGGAAAAAUGCAGUCGGCGUGAACCACGCACGAACACAGCAGAGAAAGAAGAAAACACACACCACGAGGAACCCUAAUAGGACAAUACAUUAUAAGUCACAGUGCUACGGAGAAACCCAGUAGCCACAUGGAAGCAGAGACCAUGCAUAUGCAUCUACUCCGCAGCUCUGUGAAUGUCAGCAGCUCCCACGGACUGGAGAUCCCGUGAGAUCCCGUGAGAUCUCACCCAUAGCCUCAUGGUACAUCCACUUGGUGUGCUGGGAGAGUCAGGAUGAGGACCUGAGAAGAACAGCAGCUUGAACCUGACUUCAUUUAACAGCCCACUGCCCUCUUGCCAAGAACCCAUCACAGACCUUCCCAGAAGAGAGGGAUGAGCCUCACCUAUGAAUAAGUCCUCAGAAACUCAAAUUUGAUUCUAAUGGAUUGUUUUCUCAGAAAGACUGAGCAUGUCCCCCCACAUCUCUGUCAUUUCCCACAGUAGUAACCUCUGCAGAUGCCACAUAGAAAACAAAACAAAACAAAAAAACAUGAGGUUGGUGGGCAGAUAGGCAGGGUAUAAACAAACAGCCUUGUAACCCAGAAGCUGUGUGAUAUACAGUAAACUUCACAACACUGAAAAGAUGUCCUAUCUGUUAAAAUGGGGUAAUAACAACUACCCGAAUGUUUAGGAAUAGAACUUCAAUAAAUGAUACAUUUUAUAGUACAGCAGACCAUCCUGUAAAGGUUUCAUCCUUCACUGUGGUGAUAAAUAUCCCAAACCACAUUGAAAAGCAUUGCAUCUACAUUUAUCUACACUGUAACUGUACUGUAAAUCAUGGGGGAGGGGAGAAUCAUAAAAACACCACCUGUCACCGUGUCAUUAAAGCAAGUUGGAAGUGAUACUUACAGAAACACAGCAAGAGCACCCCCAGUCACACAGUUCAAUCUCUUAGCAAGCGUUUUCUUUCUAGCCCAGUGGUUCUCAGUUUGGAAUUUUUGGCACUGCCUAGAGAUAGUUUUGUUGUUAAAACUGAGAAAAGAGCCGGGCGUGGUGGCACACGCCUUUAAUCCCAGCACUCAGGAGGCAGAGGCAGG